rnacentral:lncRNA from 1 species
CCAUGCCCGACGAGCAGGUGCUCGAGCGCUCCGCGCUCUUCCAGCGCGCCGCCGCCGGCAUGCUCAAGGGCUCGUGGAUCGUCGGGGGCCCCAGCUACCCGCUCAUGGAUUGGGUGCUCGUGCCCUACACCCACCAGAACCUCACCUGGACGCAGCACGCCUUCAACGAGAAGGUCGGGGAGGUGCGCCGCGUCGCCACCGACGCCUUCGCCAGGCUCAAGGGCCGCUGGAGCUGCCUGCAGAAGCGCACCGAGGUCAAGCUGCAGGACCUGCCCGUCGUCCUCGGCGCCUGCUGCGUGCUGCACAACGUCUGCGAGAUCCGCCGCGAGCAGUUCGACCCCGACCUCCGCUACGACCUCGUCGACGACGAGGUCGUGCCCGACAACACCAUCCGCUCCCCCGCCGCCAAGCAGGCCAGGGACAACAUUGCGCACAACCUGCUGCACCACGGCCUCGCCGGCACCGCAUUCUUUUGAUCACCUCUCUCUCCCUCUCUCUCUCCCUCCCUCC